rnacentral:rRNA from 1 species
UACGUAGGGUGCAAGCGUUAAUCGGAAUUACUGGGCGUAAAGCGUGCGCAGGCGGUUGUGUAAGUCUGACGUGAAAUCCUCGGGCUUAACCUGGGAAUGGCGUUGGAGACUGCACGGCUAGAGUGUGUCAGAGGGAGGUAGAAUUCCACGUGUAGCAGUGAAAUGCGUAGAUAUGUGGAGGAAUACCGAUGGCGAAGGCAGCCUCCUGGGAUAACACUGACGCUCAUGCACGAAAGCGUGGGGAGCAAACAGG